CAAAUACUAUUGUCUCAAUUUUGUAGAAAAAUGAAGCUCUUAGAGAUGUUAAGGGAUUGGCCAAAUCACUGUCAGGUAAAUGAGGGUGUUGGGUUUUGAUCUCUGGCCUGUCACUAGACAUCAUGACAGUAUCAGCAGACUGUCUCUCGAAGGCAUAGGACUGUCUCCUCUCUGUUGAUUUUGCACUGCACGGGACGGCCUCCUACUUACGCUGUAAACAGCUGCAUUUUAGUCUUUAGCCUUGUUAGAUCUCAUUGUCAGAAAAAUAAAUAAAGGCAAGAGGAGCCUGGGCUGGCGGUCGGGAUCUUUUCCCUCCCUCCGCGCCCGCCCUCCCUCUGUCCUUAAGGAAAUGCUACCAGACACCCCCCACCAGACACGCUCAGCCUUGGCGAGGAGCGGCCG
rnacentral:lncRNA from 1 species